UACCAGCACCCCGAGUGGUCGGGACGUUUAUUGGGCCUAAAGCAUCCGUAGCCGGUUCUACAAGUCUUCCGUUAAAUCCACCUGCUUAACAGAUGGGCUGCGGAAGAUACUAUAGAGCUAGGAGGCGGGAGAGGCAAGCGGUACUCGAUGGGUAGGGGUAAAAUCCGUUGAUCCAUUGAAGACCACCAGUGGCGAAGGCGGCUUGCCAGAACGCGCUCGACGGUGAGGGAUGAAAGCUGGGGG
rnacentral:rRNA from 1 species